rnacentral:piRNA from 1 species
UGCUUUCAGGAAUUGUGCAUAGCAGGGA